UACGGAGGGGCUAGCGUUGUUCGGAAUUACUGGGCGUAAAGCGCACGUAGGCGGAUAUUUAAGUCAGGGGUGAAAUCCCGGGGCUCAACCCCGGAACUGCCUUUGAUACUGGGUAUCUUUGAGUCCGGAAGAGGUGAGUGGAAUUCCGAGUGUAGAGGUGAAAUUCGUAGAUAUUCGGAGGAACACCAGUGGCGAAGGCGGCUCACUGGUCCGGUACUGACGCUGAGGUGCGAAAGCGUGGGGAGCAAACAGG
rnacentral:rRNA from 1 species